GAUGAACGCUGGCGGCGUGCCUAAUACAUGCAAGUCGAGCGAACAGACGAGGCGCUUGCUCCUCUGACGUUAGCGGCGGACGGGUGAGUACCACGUGGAUAACCUACCUAUAAGACUGGGAUCACUUCGGGAAACCGGAGCUAAUACCGGAUAAUAUAUUGAACCGCAUGGUUCAAUAGUGAAAGACGGUUUUGCUGUCACUUAUAGAUGGAUCCGCGCCGCAUUAGCUAGUUGGUAAGGUAACGGCUUACCAAGGCGACGAUGCGUAGCCGACCUGAGAGGGUGAUCAGCCACACUGGAACUGAGACACGGUCCAGACUCCUACGGGAGGCAGCAGUAGGGAAUCUUCCGCAAUGGGCGAAAGCCUGACGGAGCAACGCCGCGUGAGUGAUGAAGGUCUUCGGAUCGUAAAACUCUGUUAUUAGGGAAGAACAAAUGUGUAAUUAACUAUGCACGUCUUGACGGUACCUAAACAGAAAGCCACGGCUAACUACGUG
rnacentral:rRNA from 1 species